AAGAAUGCACUUUGUUCUGCUUCUCCCAGCUGCAAAAUUUACCGGUUGGCUUUCCUCCAUCUGUGUCCAGGAGAGGUCUGUGAUUGUUUCAACACUUCCUGUGACUAGCUGAGGAGGACUUUCUAAUUCUGAGAUUCUGCCCAUUUAAUGAAAUUAAUAGAUAUUGCCUCUGACACAUCCUCUUUCUCCUCUGGGGAGGAACAACCAAGAGGAGCACCAACAAAACAUUUAUUGUACCUUCUCAGUACAUCCUCCAGGCAUUUGUUUCUGAAAUAAAGACAGAUUUCAAACUAGCUCAAUAGAUUUUGAUUAAAUUCCACUAAUGUUAAUUGGACGCCUACUCCACACAAGCCAUUGUGGGUGAUACAAAAAUGAAUAACACAUGGUCCUUGCCAAAUGGGAACUUUCAUUCUCUACAACCACUUGGAGAAACUCCUGUAACUCUUCCCUCUUACAUUUCCUUCAUGUAGGGGUGAAAGGCUAGAAACACUAGUGUCAUCUUUCUUCCAAAUCCCAUGUCCAAUCCAGUUGAAAAUACUGUUGACACUAACUUCAGAAUAUGUCCAGAAUCUGGCCAGUUUUUACACCUGCACCCAAGAUGGUAAUCUUUGUCUAAGUUAUAAUCACCUCCUGCUUGGCCAGUCUAUCUGCAUCUGUUUUAUAAAAUAU